UACGUAGGUGGCAAGCGUUAUCCGGAAUUAUUGGGCGUAAAGCGCGCGCAGGUGGUUUCUUAAGUCUGAUGUGAAAGCCCACGGCUCAACCGUGGAGGGUCAUUGGAAACUGGGAGACUUGAGUGCAGAAGAGGAAAGUGGAAUUCCAUGUGUAGCGGUGAAAUGCGUAGAGAUAUGGAGGAACACCAGUGGCGAAGGCGACUUUCUGGUCUGUAACUGACACUGAGGCGCGAAAGCGUGGGGAG
rnacentral:rRNA from 1 species